rnacentral:rRNA from 1 species
GCGGCGUGCUUAACACAUGCAAGUCGAACGGAAAGGCCCUGCUUUUGUGGGGUGCUCGAGUGGCGAACGGGUGAGUAACACGUGAGUAACCUGCCCUUGACUUUGGGAUAACUUCAGGAAACUGGGGCUAAUACCGGAUAGGAGCUCCUGCUGCAUGGUGGGGGUUGGAAAGUUUCGGCGGUUGGGGAUGGACUCGCGGCUUAUCAGCUUGUUGGUGGGGUAGUGGCUUACCAAGGCUUUGACGGGUAGCCGGCCUGAGAGGGUGACCGGCCACAUUGGGACUGAGAUACGGCCCAGACUCCUACGGGAGGCAGCAGUGGGGAAUAUUGCACGAUGGGCGGAAGCCUGAUGCAGCAACGCCGCGUGCGGGAUGACGGCCUUCGGGUUGUAAACCGCUUUCGCCUGUGACGAAGCGUGAGUGACGGUAAUGGGUAAAGAAGCACCGGCUAACUACGUGCCAGCAGCCGCGGUGAUACGUAGGGUGCGAGCGUUGUCCGGAUUUAUUGGGCGUAAAGGGCUCGUAGGUGGUUGAUCGCGUCGGAAGUGUAAUCUUGGGGCUUAACCCUGAGCGUGCUUUCGAUACGGGUUGACUUGAGGAAGGUAGGGGAGAAUGGAAUUCCUGGUGGAGCGGUGGAAUGCGCAGAUAUCAGGAGGAACACCAGUGGCGAAGGCGGUUCUCUGGGCCUUUCCUGACGCUGAGGAGCGAAAGCGUGGGGAGCGAACAGGCUUAGAUACCCUGGUAGUCCACGCUGUAAACGGUGGGUACUAGGUGUGGGGUCCAUUCCACGGGUUCCGUGCCGUAGCUAACGCUUUAAGUACCCCGCCUGGGGAGUACGGCCGCAAGGCUAAAACUCAAAGGAAUUGACGGGGCCCCGCACAAGCGGCGGAGCAUGCGGAUUAAUUCGAUGCAACGCGUAGAACCUUACCUGGGUUUGACAUGGAUCGGGAGUGCUCAGAGAUGGGUGUGCCUCUUUUGGGGUCGGUUCACAGGUGGUGCAUGGCUGUCGUCAGCUCGUGUCGUGAGAUGUUGGGUUAAGUCCCGCAACGAGCGCAACCCUUGUUCACUGUUGCCAACACGUUAUGGUGGGGACUCAGUGGAGACCGCCGGGGUCAACUCGGAGGAAGGUGGGGAUGACGUCAAGUCAUCAUGCCCCUUAUGUCCAGGGCUUCACGCAUGCUACAAUGGCUGGUACAGAGAGUGGCGAGCCUGUGAGGGUGAGCGAAUCUCGGAAAGCCGGUCUCAGUUCGGAUUGGGGUCUGCAACUCGACCUCAUGAAGUCGGAGUCGCUAGUAAUCGCAGAUCAGCAACGCUGCGGUGAAUACGUUCCCGGGGCUUGUACACACCGCCCGUCAAGUCAUGAAAGUUGGUAACACCCGAAGCCGGUGGCCUAACCGUUGUGGGGGAGCCGUCGAAGGUGGGACUGGUGAUUAGG